rnacentral:rRNA from 1 species
UGCUUAUCCCGUGUUCGGAUAUUGGGCGUAAGAGCUCGUAGGCGGUUUGUCGCGUCUGCUGUGAAAGACCGGGGCUCAACUCCGGUUCUGCAGUGGGUACGGGCAGACUAGAGUGCAGUAGGGGAGACUGGAAUUCCUGGUGUAGCGGUGAAAUGCGCAGAUAUCAGGAGGAACACCGAUGGCGAAGGCAGGUCUCUGGGCUGUAACUGACGCUGAGGAGCGAAAGCAUGGGGAGCGAACAGGAUUAGAUACCCUGGUAGUCCAUGCCGUAAACGUUGGGCACUAGGUGUGGGGGACAUUCCACGUUUUCCGCGCCGUAGCUAACGCAUUAAGUGCCCCGCCUGGGGAGUACGGCCGCAAGGCUAAAACUCAAAGGAAUUGACGGGGGCCCGCACAAGCGGCGGAGCAUGCGGAUUAAUUCGAUGCAACGCGAAGAACCUUACCAAGGCUUGACAUGAACCGGUAAUACCUGGAAACAGGUGCCCCGCUUGCGGUCGGUUUACAGGUGGUGCAUGGUUGUCGUCAGCUCGUGUCGUGAGAUGUUGGGUUAAGUCCCGCAACGAGCGCAACCCUCGUUCUAUGUUGCCAGCGCGUUAUGGCGGGGACUCAUAGGAGACUGCCGGGGUCAACUCGGAGGAAGGUGGGGACGACGUCAAAUCAUCAUGCCCCUUAUGUCUUGGGCUUCACGCAUGCUACAAUGGCCGGUACAAAGGGUUGCGAUACUGUGAGGUGGAGCUAAUCCCAAAAAGCCGGUCUCAGUUCGGAUUGGGGUCUGCAACUCGACCCCAUGAAGUCGGAGUCGCUAGUAAUCGCAGAUCAGCAACGCUGCGGUGAAUACGUUCCCGGGCCUUGUACACACCGCCCGUCAAGUCACGAAAGUUGGUAACACCCGAAGCCGGUGGCCUAACCCUUGUGGGGGGAGCCGUCGAAGGUGGGACCGGCGAUUGGGACUAAGUCGUACCAAGGUAAACCA